CUCCAAGGUGAAGAGUCUCUAGUCGAUAGAAUAAUGUAGGUAAGGGAAGUCGGCAAAUUAGAUCCGUAACUUCGGGAUAAGGAUUGGCUCUGAAGAUUGAGAUAGUCGGGCUUGAUUGGGAAGCAAUAACAUGGUUUAUGUGCUCGUUCUGGAUAAAUAAAGAUUUUCGGAUCUUGUUCCCCGGAUAGUAGUUACGUAACCAAUUGUGGAACUUUCUUGCUAAAAUUUUUAAGGAAUUAUCGCAAGAUAUAUUCUUUUUAAAUUAUAACGAUUAUCAAUUAACAAUCAAUUCAGAACUGGCACGGACUUGGGGAAUCCGACUGUCUAAUUAAAACAAAGCAUUGUGAUGGCCCCAGCGGGUGUUGACACAAUGUGAUUUCUGCCCAGUGCUCUGAAUGUCAACGUGAAGAAAUUCAAGUAAGCGCGGGUCAACGGCGGGAGUAACUAUGACUCUCUUAAGGUAGCCAAAUGCCUCGUCAUCUAAUUAGUGACGCGCAUGAAUGGAUUAACGAGAUUCCUUCUGUCCCUAUCUACUAUCUAGCGAAACCACAGCCAAGGGAACGGGCUUGGAAUAAUUAGCGGGGAAAGAAGACCCUUUUGAGCUUGACUCUAGUCUGGCAGUGUAAGGAGACAUAAGAGGUGUAGCAUAAGUGGGAGAUAUUUGAAUUUAUAUUCAUUUAUCGCCAAUGAAAUACCACUACUCUUAUUGUUUCCUUACUUACUUGAUUAAAUGGAACGUGUAUCAUUUCCUAGCCGUUAUACGGAUAUAUUUAUAUAUCUUAUGGUAUUAGGUCUUGAUGCAAGCUUCUUGAUCAAAAUAUCACGAGUUUGUUAUAUAAUUGUAAACAGAUAUUAAUGAAAUGAUAGCAUCUUUUCGAUGUUAUUAUUAUAAUUGAGAUUUGGUAUAACUCCAACACUCAGGUAUGAUCCAAUUCAAGGACAUUGCCAGGUGGGGAGUUUGACUGGGGCGGUACAUCUCUCAAAUAAUAACGGAGGUGUCCCAAGGCCAGCUCAGUGCGGACAGAAACCACACAUAGAGCAAAAGGGCAAAUGCUGACUUGAUCUCGGUGUUCAGUACACACAGAGACAGCUAAAGCUCGGCCUAUCGAUCCUUUUGGUUUAAAGAGUUUUUAACAAGAGGUGUCAGAAAAGUUACCAUAGGGAUAACUGGCUUGUGGCGGCCAAGCGUUCAUAGCGACGUCGCUUUUUGAUCCUUCG
rnacentral:rRNA from 1 species